rnacentral:lncRNA from 1 species
GACCUCAGGUUGCCUACAAGAUCUUUGAAAAACUGCCUUAGGUUAUAGGGGCCAUUUUACCUCUGAGCUCCCAGAGGAGCAGGGAAUAUUUCUUGCUAAUGUGUGUUACGGGCUGAAUUGUAUCCCCCGCAAACUCAUGUGUUGAACCUCUAAAGCCCGGUACCUCAGAAUGUAGCCGUAUUUGAGAAUGAGGUCUUAAAAGAGGUGAUAAAGUUGCAAUGGGGCUAUUAGGGUGGCCCUUAAUCCAAUAUGGCUGUGUCCUUAUAAGAAGAGGAAGAGACACAAGGGACCAUCCUGCACGGAAGUAAUCAUGCGGGGAGGCAGCAGGGAGGUGGCCGUCUGCCAGCCAAGGAUAAGAGCCUCAGAGGAAACCAACCCUCCGGCACUUUGAUUUUGGACUUCCGGCUUCCAGAACCAUGAGAAGUAAAUGUCUGUUUAAGCCAGCCGGUCUGUGGCAUUUCAUUUUGGCAGCCCAAGCCACGGCAGACUGUGUUGCCGGUGCCUAGCGGGGAGUGGAUGCUAAUAAAUGCAUGCUGAAUUGGCUGAACUGGAUGCAUGUUCAUUUCCCAUGAAAUGAAAAAGAAGGCCUGGGUCCCAGGGUUUGCGACCCUUUGAAGAGAGAUGCCCUUCCAGGGGAGGGGCUGCUGGUGCCUGGAAGCUGUUGGCCAGAUACCAAACGAGAACAUGCUGGAAGAAGGCCUCAGUAGCAGCAGCUACUCUCACCUCCCCAGCUCCAUCCCGCCUGCCACAGUUUCGGGGAGGAGAAGCCAUGGCCCUGAGGUUACCACUGGGAUUCCCGGAGCUGUGAAGACUGCAUAUUCAGAGUAUCAUUCUUCAGAGGCCCCGCCCACCUGGAGGGAUGAAAACCUCUAGCAGGGUCAGCGCGUGCCCACCCGUUCCCGACGUCCUCACGGUGCCCUCUGGACUCUCUCACCACGUGGGUUCCAAGCACUGAGCUCCCCCAGCGCCAGAAAGCAGAGAUUUGAUGAAAUAUGGAAUGCAUAUGCCACUGGGCCUCACCUGUCCACGGGUCUGGGAUGGCAGAAUAAGGCCCCGCUUACACGUAUGACAGAGGCUCUAAACCACUGAUCUCCCCGAACAAGAACGUUAGCCU